GACAGAGGUGCCAAGCGUUAGGCGGAAUCACUGGGCUUAAAGCGUGUGUAGGCGGAUCGUUAAGUACCUUGUGAAAUCCCACGGCUCAACCGUGGAACUGCUGGGUAUACUGGCGAUCUUGAGCCACCUAGGGGCGAGCGGAACAAGCGGUGGAGCGGUGAAAUGUGUAGAGAUCCCGAGGAAUACCAGUGGUGAAGACGGUGCCCUGGGCCAUACCUGACGCUGAGAUGCGAAAGCGUGGGGAGCGAACGGG
rnacentral:rRNA from 1 species